GAGGGUACAGCUCAGUGGUAGAGCGCAUGCUCAGCAUGCACAAGGUCCUGGGUUCGAUCCCCAGUACCUCCA
rnacentral:tRNA from 1 species